UAGUGAUUAACGCGAAGAACCUUACCUGGGCUCGAAAUGUAGUGGACCGGGGUGGAAACAUCCCUUCCCGCAAGGGUCGCUAUAUAGGUGCUGCAUGGCUGUCGUCAGCUCGUGUCGUGAGAUGUUGGGUUAAGUCCCGCAACGAGCGCAACCCUUAUUGUCAGUUGCCAUCAUUUAGUUGGGCACUCUGGCGAAACCGCCUCGGAUAACGGGGAGGAAGGUGGGGAUGACGUCAAGUCCCCAUGGCCUUUAUGUCCAGGGCUACACACGUGCUACAAUGGUCGGUACAAACCGUCGCAAACCCGUGAGGGGGAGCUAAUCGGAAAAAGCCGACCUCAGUUCGGAUUGGAGUCUGCAACCCGACUCCAUGAAGCUGGAAUCGCUAGUAAUCGCAGAUCAGAACGCUGCGGUGAAUACGUUCCCGGGCCUUGUCACACCGAAUCGAAUUCC
rnacentral:rRNA from 1 species